rnacentral:rRNA from 1 species
AUGAAAAAAUUAGUUUUAUUAUUAUUAAAAAAAUAAGAAUUAAAGCUUUUUAAUGGUUUAAAUUUUAAUUUGAUUUUUAAAAUAUUUAAUAUAAUUAAUUAUAUUAUUUAAUACUAUAUUGAGUUUGAUCCUAGCUCAGAGUGAAUGCUAGCGGUCUGCCUAACACAUGCAAGUCAAACGCGAGUAAAUUUUUUUAUUUCGAGUGGCGUACGGGUGAGUAAAAUAUAAGAAUAAAUUUAAUAAUUUGAAAUAAGACAAUUAUUUUUUAAUAUAAUAAAUAGGUUUAAAGUCAAAUAAAAUUUAAUUUUAAUUUAAUAUUAAAGUAAAUUAAUUAAAAAUUUUUAAAAUAUUUUUACAUAAAAAUAAUAAUAAUUUUGUUGUUAAAUCAGCUUAUAUAGGAUUAUGGUAGUUGGUAGAGUAAAGGUUUACCAAGCCUAAGAUCUUUAGCUGGUCUGGGAGGACGAUCAGCCACAUUAGGACUGAAACAAGGCCUAACCUUUUAACAAGGCAGCAGUGGGGAAUUUUGGACAAUGAGCGAAAGCUUGAUCCAGCAAGACCGCGUGAGUGAAGACUGUUUAUAAUUGUAAAGCUCUUUCAUCAAUGAAGAUUAUGACUUUUAGUUGAAAAAGAAGCCCCGACUAACUUCGUGCCAGCAGUCGCGGUAAUACGGGGGGGGCUAGUGUUACUCUUAAUUAAUGGGCGUAAAGUGUAUUAAGACGAUUUAUUGUAUUAUAAAUAAAAUAUAAAAGCUUAACUUUUAAACUAUUUUUAGGAUUAAUAAAUUAGAGUAUAUUAGAAGAAAGUGGUAUUCUUAAUGAAGAGGUGAAAUUCUAAGACUUUAAAAAGACCAUCAAUAAGCGAAGGCAACUUUUCUAUAAUAUUACUGACGUUUAAGUACAAAAGCAUAGGUAGCAAACAGGAUUAGAGACCCUGGUAGUCUAUGCCCUGACCUAUAAAUGUUCACUAUUGGAUAAUUUCAGUAGUUUAGUAAACGCGUUAAACAUUUCGCCUGGGGACUACGAUCGCAAGAUUAAAACUCAAAGGAAUUGACGGAGAUCUAUUCAAGCGGUGGAGCAUGUGGUUUAAUUCGAUAAAAAGCGCAAAACCUUACCAGCAUUUGACUUUUGAGAAAAUUUUAGAUGAGAGUUUAAAAUAAUAUAUUUUAAUAAUUUUAUAUUUUUUAUUAAAUAUAUCUCAAUCAGGUGUUGCAUGGCUGUCGGCAGUCCGUGUCGUGAGAUGUACGGUUAAAUCCUGAAACGGGCGCAACCCUUAUUUUUAGUUAUUUUUCUAAAAAAACUGUUAAUUAAAUAUUAAUAGAAGGUGAGGAUGACGUCAAGUCUUCAUGGCCUUUAUAUGCUGGGCUACACACAUGCUACAAUGGUUAUUACAAUGAGAAGCAAUAAUGUGAAUUAAAGCGAAUCUUUAAAAGUAAUCUUAGUCGGAAUUAUUCUCUGCAAUUCGAGAAUAUGAAGCGCGGAAUCGCUAGUAAUCGCGAAUCAGCAUGUCGCGGUGAAUAUGCACUUAGAUCUUGUACAUACCGCCCGUCACGCCAUGGGAAUUAAUUUUGCAGGUAAGAAGGAUUAAUUAUCUAAUUUAUUAUUUUUUUUUAUAAGAAUUAAAAAUUAUUUUAAAUUUUUAAUUAAAUAAAAAUAUUUUUAUUAAAUAAUUAAUUUGAUGAAUGUGGGAUUUAAUAACUGGGGUGAAGUCGUAACAAGGUAGCCGUAGAGGAAUCUGUGGCUGGAUCAAAAAAAAUUAA